ACCCUUUAAUGUUUGAUGUUCUAACGUGGACCCGUGAUCCGGGUUGCGGACAGUGUCUGGUGGGUAGUUUGACUGGGGCGGUCUCCUCCUAAAGAGUAACGGAGGAGCACGAAGGUUGGCUAAUCCUGGUCGGACAUCAGGAGGUUAGUGCAAUGGCAUAAGCCAGCUUGACUGCGAGCGUGACGGCGCGAGCAGGUGCGAAAGCAGGUCAUAGUGAUCCGGUGGUUCUGAAUGGAAGGGCCAUCGCUCAACGGAUAAAAGGUACUCCGGGGAUAACAGGCUGAUACCGCCCAAGAGUUCAUAUCGACGGCGGUGUUUGGCACCUCGAUGUCGGCUCAUCACAUCCUGGGGCUGAAGUAGGUCCCAAGGGUAUGGCUGUUCGCCAUUUAAAGUGGUACGCGAGCUGGGUUUAGAACGUCGUGAGACAGUUCGGUCCCUAUCUGCCGUGGGCGCUGGAGAACUGAGGGGGGCUGCUCCUAGUACGAGAGGACCGGAGUGGACGCAU
rnacentral:rRNA from 1 species